CACGUAGGGUGCGAGCGUUGUCCGGAAUUAUUGGGCGUAAAGAGCUCGUAGGCGGCGUGUCGCGUCGGCCGUGAAAACCUGCAGCUUAACUGUGGGCUUGCGGUCGAUACGGGCAUCACUGGAGUUCGGCAGGGGAGACUGGAAUUCCUGGUGUAGCGGUGAAAUGCGCAGAUAUCAGGAGGAACACCGGUGGCGAAGGCGGGUCUCUGGGCCGAUACUGACGCUGAGACGCGAAAGCGUGGGGAGCAAACAGG
rnacentral:rRNA from 1 species